GCCCUUAUAGCUCAGUGGUAGAGCGCAGCACUCGUACUCUUACGUUACAAGUUCAUGCUGAGGUCCAUCGUUCAAUCCGGUGUGGGGGCA
rnacentral:tRNA from 1 species